rnacentral:rRNA from 1 species
AGCAGCCGCGGUAAUUCCAGCUCCAAUAGCGUAUAUUAAAGUUGUUGCAGUUAAAAAGCUCGUAGUUGAAUUUCGGGAUCAAUAUAUCGGUCGUGCCUUUGGUACGUACUGGUAUCAUUGAUUUCUCCUUUCUGACGAAUCAUGAUGUCAUUAAUUUGGUGUUAUGAGGAGUUAGGACUGUUACUUUGAAAAAAUUAGAGUGUUUAAAGCAGGCAUUAGCUUGAAUACAUUAGCAUGGAAUAAUGAAAUAGGACGUUUGACCCUAUUUUGUUGGUUUUUAGGAUCGACGUAAUGAUUAAUAGGGAUAGUUGGGGGCAUUAGUAUUCAAUUGUCAGAGGUGAAAUUUUUGGAUUUAUUGAAGACUAACUACUGCGAAAGCAUUUGCCAAGGAUGUUUUCAUUAAUCAAGAACGAAAGUUAGGGGAUCGAAGACGAUCAGAUACCGUCGUAGUCUUAACCAUAAACUAUGCCGACUAGGGAUCGGAUGAUGUUAAUUUUUUUAAUGACUCAUUCGGCGCCUU